GGCUGGUGCGAGGUUUAGCGAUUUUAUCUAUCGGUAGUUUUACUAAUCUGUAUGGAGCAAUUCAGCCGUUUGAGCGAAAAACAGCGAAAAGCUGAAGUGCGAAAGUUUUACGACUAUUUUACCGGUGAAGACAACUCUUCAAACAUACCACGGGAACACCUUCGUUUCCUGUUCGAUCAACACCGUCGAGAUCGAUGGCCAGAAGCCAUGAUGACAUUCAACAACUACGUUUUUCUUCUUCAGAUUUUGAAGAUUCUUAGGAAAAGGAAAGCUGCGUUUAUUGUGCGCCCUUGGCCACCAGAGCCAACAGACAGAGAAAAGCUAGAAAGGUACUCUGCAGACGUGCAAGAACUGUUAGAAACUGAAGAGAUAGAUAACAUGACUGACAAGAAAGAAGUGACGAAGACGCUAAUUAGCAGGAUAAUACGUAAGCCCUACAACAGGGAGGUGCUCAUGCUCAACAAGUGUGACGUCAGUAUCACUACUACGGGAUCGGCGGUUGACGAUGCAAAACUUGAAUUGCCAGUAGUUGCUCUUGAAGAUACUCUAGCCGCAAGCACUCCAACUAGGAAUCGAACGGCUAUAGAUGUUGAGAUAAUCAAUGAUUCUGACUGUCAUUCAAAGUCAUUGCUAAACGUCGCCUUUCUAGAGGAAACGGAUGGAUUUCGACUGCUAGACAAAAGCACGAGAAGCGAACUUCCAUCAUCAAAAGUGGAAAUACCCAAGAAUGGAAGUUACAUGAUCAUUGUCGUUUUUGCUCCAAAACACGUCAGCUUGUACAAGAACACUCUGGUGUUUGAGUUCCUUGAUCACGACACUGGCAAGAAAUUUCAUAUCAUCCGCUUUCUUAAAGGGCGAGUGCACAUCAGCGGCAUGGAAAUCUUGCAACCAACAGCUCCAUACCAAAGAAAGAAAUUGCAUCCCAGGAGCAGACUUCCAAUCGUAGAUGGCAUAAAGCCACCAAGACCUGAUGAUCGCAUUGUGUUAAAACGACCUCUUUUGUAUUACGAUAUUCCUAAGAAAAUCAAGAGUAACAUGAACAGAGACGAGCCACAAGGCGAUCUAGAGACGUUGCUGCGUAGUCAGGAUCCAUUGCAUCAUACGGAGCGCCUGCAGGCUCUGUUAUGGAUUGAAGAAAGGCAAAUGCAUCGCGACAUCAGACAUUAUGACAGACAGAAAGAAAUGAAGUCAAUUCCUCAAGGACAUCUCGAGCUUGAGGUUGCCGGGCUAGCUGAGAACAGGCCGUCUCUUUUGAAAGGAGACAAUAUACUUGCCACAUGGGUAAACGCAAAGGAGAAAUAUAGAGGAUAUGUGCACAAAGUACUACUUGAGAAAGUUUGGCUCAAAUUUGACCGCAGGUUUCAUGAUCAGUUUGUUUCCCAAAAGCAGUACAAUAUCGAAUUCACGUUUAGACGCACUACACUGCGUCUUCAGCAUCGCGCCCUUGAUUCUGCCGAGGAACUUCCGAAAGGCAUUCUUCAUCCAGAGUCUGUAUCGAUCUAUUCGAUGAUACGUAACAAGUUACGUUUUUAUGAUAUCGCGGUUGAGAGAAAUCCGGAGCAGAAGCGGGCAGUUGAGGCAAUUGUGGCUGGCAGAUCAAACGACGCACCUUACAUUAUAUAUGGUCCUCCAGGAACAGGAAAAACUAAGACUACAGUAGAAGCAAUCAAGCAGGUUUUGAAGGCGUCUUCCGGGCACCGCGUGUUGGCUUGCGCACCUUCCAACAGUGCUACUGAUCUGCUGUGCGAAGGAAUCUUGAAACACUGGCCGAAAAGUGAAGUGCUGAGACUGAAUGCUUACACCAGACAGAGAACUGCGGACAUACCGGAAUGUGUGAUGGAAGUAUCUUGCUAUGAUUGCAAAACAGAAGCGUUUGAGAUGCCAGAACGACGACGUCUUGACAACUAUCGAGUGAUUGUAUGCACUCUCACAACCUCAGGAAGGCUUGUUUCUAUUCCCAUGCCAGCUGGUCACUUCACACAUAUUUUUGUAGACGAAUCUGGUCACGCUGUAGAGCCAGAGUGUCUUAUUCCUCUUGCUGGUUUAUAUCAUCCCGCAUGCCACUUUAUUAUGGCCGGUGACCCUAAACAACUUGGUCCAGUUUUACGCUCGCAUGCCGCAAUGAAGUAUGGGCUCAACGUGUCGCUCUUGGAGCGGCUCAUGACGACAUGCAGUAUCUAUCAACCACAAACCGAUUCGUCUAAACCUAAGUACAACAAUGAUGUCAUCACCAAAUUGAUUGAAAAUUAUCGUUCGCAUCCACUUAUCUUGGAACUUCCCAAUGAAGAGUUCUACGACCGCGAGCUUGUAGCGAAGGCUGACGAGUUGUUGAGAGAGGAGUUAUGUCAGUGGCAGGAUUUGCCUCGGAAGGGUUUUCCUUUGGUAUUUCAUGGGAUUGAAGGAAAAGACGAGAGAGAAUCGGACAGUCCGUCGUUCUUUAACGUUGAAGAAAUUGUGACUGUCUGGACGUAUAUUGACAAACUGCUGAAGUCGAGAGGCGUCAGAGUAGAAGCGAAAGAAAUUGGAGUUAUUUCUCCGUACAGGAAGCAGGUUGAAAAAAUAAGAACCUUUCUCAAGAAAAAGAAUUGUGAAGGCAUCAAGGUUGGGUCGGUUGAAGAGUUCCAAGGUCAAGAAAGAAAGGUCAUCAUUCUUUCCCAGGGGCGUAGCGUCCAGUCCGACCGGUCCGGCCAUGGCCGGACCGGUUUUUGAAAUAUGCACUUUCGCCAGACGCUCAAUGGCAUCAACUUCCGUUUUAAGGACGUCAGUUGAAGGUACUGUACAGGCUCGGAGACCCAGCCGAUGCGAGGCUAAGAUGUGUGCAGGUAAUGCACGGAGGUCCGAGGCCGCUAAAAAGACCCGUUCAUCUCAGAGGUAGUGAGCACAGACUUCGCAUUUUUGGAAAGUUCGAUUAAGGUUAUGAGCAGCAAUAAGUAUCAGUUUUAGAAUUAGACAUGGCUGUCAUUAUAGUUCUCGUUAAUUAAAGUUGUCCCGCCCAUCUACUAGCGUGCGCUACAUUGUCCAGCCCACUAGCGCGCGCUAGGCCGGACCGGUUUUCAUUUACUUCCUACGCCCCUGUUUCCACAGUCAGAAGCAACCCUGAGUACCUCAACAUGGACAGGCAAUACAAUUUGGGAUUCCUGGACAAUCCAAAGCGUUUCAAUGUUGCUAUUACAAGAGCUAAAGCUCUCCUAGUCGUCGUUGGUAAUCCGAAACUCCUUAUUAAAGACGUU